rnacentral:rRNA from 1 species
CGCCUGUUUAUCAAAAACAUAGCCUUUAGCCAAACAAGUAUUAAAGGUCCCGCCUGCCCAGUGAAAAUUAAACGGCCGCGGUAUUCUAACCGUGCAAAGGUAGCGUAAUCACUUGUCUUCUAAAUAAAGACCAGUAUGAACGGCUUAAUGAGGACAGACCUGUCUCUUACAACUAAUCAGUGAAACUGAUCCCCCAGUACAAAAGCUGGGAUACUUACAUAAGACGAGAAGACCCUGUGGAGCUUUAAACCCCUCCGUCACAAGUACAACACAAACUUUUCGCUGGCGGCGUGUUUUAAGUUGGGGCGACUUCGGAACAAAAUAAAACUCCCGAGCACAGAGCCACAAGCUCAAACCGCGGCCAACAAGCCAAAGUUCCACCAAACUAGACCCAGUAACACUGACCAACGAACCAAGUUACCCCAGGGAUAACAGCGCCAUCUUCUUCAAGAGUCCCUAUCGACAAGAAGGUUUACGACCUCGAUGUUGGAUCAGGACACCCAAAUGGUGCAGCCGCUAUUAAAGGUUCGUUUGUUCAACGAUUAACAGUCCUACGUGAUCUGAGUUCAGACCGGA